CUCACUUUGUUGAUUUUAGAUAAUGAGUUCUCAAAACGUUACCCUGUUUUUGGGACGUGCUAAUUAUACUUCAGUCACUCCUACUAUAUUCAACAGGUAAAUUUCUUUCAGAAGUCUUGUUACCAUAGAUUGUUUUGAUUUUUUGGAUGUUAAUCUUCUGAGUUGAACAUGACUGCUUAGUCUCUAAUCUCUAUAUGAUAAUGCUCCUAUAGUAAGUUCUCUCAGACAUAAUCAGGCUUGUAAUCUUUUCAUAAGACCUUCUAGGGAAAUAUUAUAUUGUUGAUUCAAGUUUUGCAACACUCAGAGAAUUUCUUGAAUCUUUCCAGCCUAACUGGUAAGACAACUGAAUGUGGUGCCCGGACAAGUGUGAAUUCUAAAACUUGAGCUUUCAAGCAUGGAGUAUUUGCAGAACUUGAAGACCAUUUUGGCUGAAAGGAAUAAACUUUGCUUCAUAAAAGCUGGCAAGAGGACACCUGAUCUCUCUAGCAUUAAAACUUCAAGGAUUACAGAGGCAAACAAAGUUCUAUCAAAUUCUGUAAGUCAGAGAGAAAUUAAUUCCUUGGAAAAGUCAGUGCAAAAAAUGGAAGUACCCAAUAUAGCAUUGAAGAUUGAGCGUCGUGUUGACAGUACUGAGAAAGAAAUGUCUCAAAGCCCAUCCUUGAAAAGGAAAACAUUUGAGGCAUCAAAUGCAGAUUCAGUGUACUUAAAUCCUCUAAAACACCUCUCUGUGUCAGCCAGUGAAAUCAGCAAUUCAAAAGUACCUUUGGAAAGAGUCCUUGAAGAACAAGUUUGCAUUCAUGGGAUUCGGGGAGAGGGUAGUGCCAAGCAUGUCUUUACUAACCACCAGACCUCCAACUUGAAUGUGUUUGAGAGGUGAACAUGAUGGACUUGGAAAUUCCUUUAGUUAUGGAGAAUGAUAGAAAUGUUGAGAAGGCUGAGGCAUAUACGAAGUGAUUUAUUUAUUAGCUAUUAAGUGAUUCAUAGAGGCUUAACUUGAUAGUUGCUCAUCAAACCAUGAACUUGGCAAAGUCUCAAACCUGUAAGUGACUUUGAAACCUAAAAAAGGACUUGCAGUUUUUCAAUUGUAGAGGAACACAUCUUCAUUAAUUCAUUUAGUGAAAUUCUGACUUUGAGAUUCGCAA